AUUGAACGCUGGCGGCAGGCCUAACACAUGCAAGUCGAAUGGUAACAGGAAACAGCUUGCUGUUUCGCUGACGAGUGGCGGACGGGUGAGUAAUGUCUGGGAAACUGCCUGAUGGAGGGGGAUAACUACUGGAAACGGUAGCUAAUACCGCAUAACGUCGCAAGACCAAAGAGGGGGACCUUCGGGCCUCUUGCCAUCAGAUGUGCCCAGAUGGGAUUAGCUAGUAGGUGGGGUAACGGCUCACCUAGGCGACGAUCCCUAGCUGGUCUGAGAGGAUGACCAGCCACACUGGAACUGAGACACGGUCCAGACUCCUACGGGAGGCAGCAGUGGGGAAUAUUGCACAAUGGGCGCAAGCCUGAUGCAGCCAUGCCGCGUGUAUGAAGAAGGCCUUCGGGUUGUAAAGUACUUUCAGCGGGGAGGAAGGGAGUAAAGUUAAUACCUUUGCUCAUUGACGUUACCCGCAGAAGAAGCACCGGCUAACUCCGUGCCAGCAGCCGCGGUAAUACGGAGGGUGCAAGCGUUAAUCGGAAUUACUGGGCGUAAAGCGCACGCAGGCGGUUUGUUAAGUCAGAUGUGAAAUCCCCGGGCUCAACCUGGGAACUGCAUCUGAUACUGGCAAGCUUGAGUCUCGUAGAGGGGGGUAGAAUUCCAGGUGUAGCGGUGAAAUGCGUAGAGAUCUGGAGGAAUACCGGUGGCGAAGGCG
rnacentral:rRNA from 1 species